rnacentral:rRNA from 1 species
AACGAACGCUGGCGGCAUGCCUAACACAUGCAAGUCGAACGAGACCUUCGGGUCUAGUGGCGCACGGGUGCGUAACACGUGGGAAUCUGCCCUUUGCUUCGGAAUAACAGUUAGAAAUGACUGCUAAUACCGGAUGAUGUCGAAAGACCAAAGAUUUAUCGGCAAAGGAUGAGCCCGCGUAGGAUUAGGUAGUUGGUGGGGUAAAGGCCUACCAAGCCGACGAUCCUUAGCUGGUCUGAGAGGAUGAUCAGCCACACUGGGACUGAGACACGGCCCAGACUCCUACGGGAGGCAGCAGUGGGGAAUAUUGGACAAUGGGCGAAAGCCUGAUCCAGCAAUGCCGCGUGAGUGAUGAAGGCCUUAGGGUUGUAAAGCUCUUUUACCAGGGAUGAUAAUGACAGUACCUGGAGAAUAAGCUCCGGCUAACUCCGU